UACGAGGGGGGCGAGCGUUGUUCGGAAUUAUUGGGCGUAAAGGGUGCGUAGGCGAUUUGGUAAGUCUGAUGUGAAAUCUAUGGGCUCAACUCAUAGUCUGCAUCGGAAACUGCCGGGCUUGAGUGUGGGAGAGGUGAGUGGAAUUCCUGGUGUAGCGGUGAAAUGCGUAGAUAUCAGGAGGAGCACCUGUGGCGAAAGCGGCUCACUGGACCAUAACUGACGCUGAUGCACGAAAGCUAGGGGAGCAAACAGG
rnacentral:rRNA from 1 species